rnacentral:rRNA from 1 species
CAAUAGCGUAUAUUAAAGUUGUUGCAGUUAAAAAGCUCGUAGUUGGAUUUCUGGUGGGAGCGAUCGGUCUGGCGCUUAGCGCGAGUACUUGCAUCGUCUCCGGCCAUCCUUGGGGAGAGUCUGUCUGGCAUUAGGUUGUCGGGCAGAGGGUCUUCAUCGUUUACUGUGAAAAAAUUAGAGUGUUCAAAGCAGGCUUAUGCCGUUGAAUAUAUUAGCAUGGAAUAAUAAGAUAGGACUUUGGUACUAUUUUGUUGGUUUGCGCACCAAAGUAAUGAUUAAUAGGGACAGUUGGGGGUAUUCGUAUUCCGUUGUCAGAGGUGAAAUUCUUGGAUUUACGGAAGACGAACUACUGCGAAAGCAUUUACCAAGGAUGUUUUCAUUAA